AAAUUGAAGAGUUUGAUCAUGGCUCAGAUUGAACGCUGGCGGCAGGCCUAACACAUGCAAGUCGAACGGUAACAGGAAGCAGCUUGCUGCUUUGCUGACGAGUGGCGGACGGGUGAGUAAUGUCUGGGAAACUGCCUGAUGGAGGGGGAUAACUACUGGAAACGGUGGCUAAUACCGCAUAACGUCGCAAGACCAAAGAGGGGGACCUUCGGGCCUCUUGCCAUCAGAUGUGCCCAGAUGGGAUUAGCUUGUUGGUGAGGUAACGGCUCACCAAGGCGACGAUCCCUAGCUGGUCUGAGAGGAUGACCAGCCACACUGGAACUGAGACACGGUCCAGACUCCUACGGGAGGCAGCAGUGGGGAAUAUUGCACAAUGGGCGCAAGCCUGAUGCAGCCAUGCCGCGUGUAUGAAGAAGGCCUUCGGGUUGU
rnacentral:rRNA from 2 species